UACAGAGGUCUCGAGCGUUAAUCGGAGUCACUGGGCUUAAAGGGUGCGUAGGCGGCGCCGCAAGUGCCUUGUGAAAUCCCACGGCUCAACCGUGGAAUUGCUCGGCAGACUGCGGCGCUUGAGGUCGGUAGGGGUCGCUGGAACUCUAGGUGGAGCGGUGAAAUGCGUAGAUAUCUAGAGGAACGCCAAAGGUGAAGACAGGCGACUGGGCCGAUUCUGACGCUGGAGGCACGAAAAGCGUGGGGGAGCGAAACGGG
rnacentral:rRNA from 1 species